AAAAAAAGUAAGAAGACAUUACAUUGCCUUAUUUUCUGCAGUAUUCCCUCUAAUUAUAUUUUGAAGUAUCAAUCCCCUUUCUUUAGAUACAUUUUCUUUUUAAAAAUUAAUCAUGUUUUUAAUUGGCAGAUAAUAUUUUAUGCAUUUACCAAAACAUGAUAUUUGAAGUAUAUAUAUACAUUGCAGAAUGACUAAUCUAGCUAAUUAGCAUAUGUAAUACAUAGUUAUCAUUUUUGUAGUGAGAGAUUUUACAUCCACUAUCAUAGCAAUUUUAGGAAUAUAAUAUAUUGUUAACUACAGUCACCAUAUUGUACAGUAGAUCUCUAGAAUGCAUUUCUCCUUAAAAUAUAUACAUAUAUAUUCAAUACAUACAGUUUAUCCAAUAUAUAUUUACAUAGAACAAAAACCCAUGAAAUAUAUAUGCAUAUUAAACAUGUAUUACAAUUCAUAACAUAUUUAUUAGGUAAUUAUUUCUAUUACAUAUCUGUUACAAUUACAUAAAAAUCCUGAAAUAAUUUAUACUUAUGGUAAAAAAAUGAGCAUGUGUUGUAGCAUUUAGACAGGUAUUUCUCAUAAAUAACAGAGUUACGAUAAUUGAAAAAGGUCCUCUCCCCCUUUUUUCUAAGGUAAAAAUUAACAGAAAUAAUUAAAUUCUUGAACUUUUUCCAGAAAGUUGUUUUACUGAAGAUAAAUGUCUAAUUCAAACUUAAGAAGCAUUUUUGUUAUUAUUAUUGUUGUUCUUGUUCAUAAUAGACUGAUGAUGAUUCUUGCAGAAAAAUGCAGAAUUUAAAGUUGUAAUUUAGUCACUGAAUCACUAGAUGGUAUACAGUUCCUUUAAGGAAAUAUGCAUCAGGAAAUAUGUGUAACAAUGAUUUUGUUGUGCAGUAGUUUUGUCAGCUCUAUUUAUUUAAUUAUAUUCAUUUUUGCCAAAAUUUAUAUGUUACUACUACAGAAUAUUUUUAUAAAGAUUCUAAAAACUUCUUGCUACUGAUAAUAAUAAAACAAUGAUUAUCUAGAUAUUUAAAGAUUAAAAUAUAUUAAUUUUUCAAUAUAUAGUUUAUUACCAGGUCUUUCUUGGUAUGUAAUGAAUAACAAUUAUAACUUUAAAGAUAUUUGUAAAAAUAUAAAGUUUAUAUUUACCAGUUCUUCAAAUACCACAGAAUAUUAGUAGAUUAAUAGUAAAAUCUGAUGUUUAAUCUAGUAAUAUUAUACUUUCAAUAAUAGGCAAUCUCUAUGCUAAAUACUUCCAAAUUAUAUUAAAAGUCCUAGACUAUUCAAAACUUCUUUACUAAACUGCAUUCAUUAAUAUUUUAAGCCUAAUAAGAUACUAGGGAAACUGGACAAUCAGUAAUGUCUGGGACUAUUGAAAAUCAAAAAGACUCUUAAUUGCUUAACUGGUCAUUGUUAAAUAUUUGAAAUAUAUUUCAAAUUAUAAACAAUAAAUUAUCUCUACAUUUUUAAGCAUGUUUCAAAAAUCUUUUGUAGAUAGAUGUCGAUAAUGCUAUUCUUGUUUAAUAUCUACAGUGCAGAUGUCUGUCAUUUUCAUAGAUUUUUUUUUUACUUUAAAUUUGUAGAAAAUGCCUUCCACAUGCAGAAAAAAAAAUGAUUUAUGGUUUAAUAUAGAAAGAAAACAUGUUGGCCGGGCGCGGUGGCUCACGCCUGUAAUCCCAGCACUUUGGGAGGCCGAGGCGGGUGGAUCACGAGGUCAGGAGAUCGAGACCAUCCUGGCUAACAUGGUGAAACCCCGUCUCUACUAAAAAAUACAAAAAGCUAGCCGGGUGAGGUGGCGGACGCCUGUAGUCUCAGCUACUCGGGAGGCUGAGGCAGGAGAAUGGUGUGAACCUGGGAGGCGGAGCUUGCAGUGAGCUGAAAUCCGGCCACUGCACUCCAGCCUGGGCCACAGAGCGAGAGUCCGUCACAAAAAAAAAAAAAAA
ensembl:lncRNA